UUGGUUCCCUUUCGAUUGUUUUGUAGGAGUACUCAUGUGAUUCCUAUCAGUAUGAGGGGUGGAUUCGUCGUGACAUAUGCAAUCGCAGCAAUUUGUAAAUUUGAACAUCCAACAAUGAAUCGGAUGUUUUGCACCGUACUCUCGCUAUUUUUAUUCUAGGAUAGCUUUACCAUGGGCUUACCAUCUUCAUAGCUCGUGUGCUACAAAAGAGUGCAAAAGAUCGUUACCAAAAUUAGUUUCCAACAUUUUCCCAAAGGAAAUUCGCAGCAGUAAAUUUUCUAACAAAAAGACAAAACAAAAGAAAGAUUUCUCUAAAUAAUACCAAUAAACUGAAUCGCCCUGUAAGCCGUGGGUGUAGUAUGUACAUACUGACAUAUGAGGAAAUUAUGAAUUCGUAUUUGCUGUUAAUCCCAUUGAGUCUGCAUAAUUAAGCUUUUAAUUCUUUGCAUUUAUUAAAAGAUAUGUUAUCAACUUCAACUAUGAUUUCAAGGAAAACAGGGCAUCAAACUAUGUAGCAUGCAAAUAUCAUCUUUGCUAAGUAUAAAAUCCACGGGAUCCUCACUAGCAAGUAACAGAUCUAAUCCACAUAUCAGUCAGUUUACCUCCAAUUUACAACUAUGAAGUUCAUCGUUGCAGUUUGCUCCUUGUUGUCAUCGUAGCAGCUCAUGCUCAACUUUUUGAGUAUUUGCCAGGAAUUAGGGCCUUCACUAGAUACGAUAACGAUGGAAAGCUCAUCGUGGACUCAUUGUACCCAAAAGUUCUUAAGUCGACGAUUUCGAUCUGAUCAAGGAUAGAAUUAUCUUGUAAAGGAUUUGAUAAAAUGAUAAUGGCGCAAUUUUACAAUUUUAAUAAAGAAUAGCAUCAAACAA